UGGGGGAAUUUUUGGACAAUGGGGGGAAACCCUGAUCCAGCCAUCCCGCGUGUGCGAUGAAGGCCUUCGGGUUGUAAAGCACUUUUGGCAGGAAAGAAACGUCGCGGGUUAAUACCCCGCGAAACUGACGGUACCUGCAGAAUAAGCACCGGCUAACUACGUGCCAGCAGCCGCGGUAAUACGUAGGGUGCAAGCGUUAAUCGGAAUUACUGGGCGUAAAGCGUGCGCAGGCGGUUCGGAAAGAAAGAUGUGAAAUCCCAGAGCUUAACUUUGGAACUGCAUUUUUAACUACCGGGCUAGAGUGUGUCAGAGGGAGGUGGAAUUUCCGCGUGUAGCAGUGAAAUGCGUAGAUAUGCGGAGGAACACCGAUGGCGAAGGCAGCCUCCUGGGAUAACACUGACGCUCAUGCACGAAAGCGUGGGGAGCAAACAGGAUUAGAUACCCUGGUAGUCCACGCCCUAAACGAUGUCAACUAGCUGUUGGGGCCUUCGGGCCUUGGUAGCGCAGCUAACGCGUGAAGUUGACCGCCUGGGGAGUACGGUC
rnacentral:rRNA from 1 species